rnacentral:tRNA from 1 species
GAGUUGUUAGAAUUAAGUUUAAUUCGAAUUGUUGUCAACAAUUAGAUCCUUACAGGACAGUUCU